UUAAUUAUUCUUUAUAUUUAUUUUAAAUUUAUUAUUUUUAAGAAAAAUAUUUAUAUAUUUUUAGUAUAUUUUUAGAAAAAAUUGUUUAUAUUAUAGUUAAUUAUUCUGUAAAGAUUUAAAUAAAUUAGUUUUAAAGUAUAUAUUUUUUAUAGUACCUUUUGUAUCAGGGUUAAUUAAUUGAAUAUUAUAAAUUUAUUAUUCCCGAAAGUUAAAGAUCUAAAUUAUUAUGUAGGAUUAUGUUUUAAAAUAAUCUAUAAUAUUACUUUAGAUGUGAAAUGUUAAUCGUUUUAAUUAUAUCUGGUUUUUUAAUAAAUAAAUUUAAUUUAGAUCUUAAAUUUAUUUAAUUUAAUUUAAUUAAAUAUUUAUUUUUAAGAUAAAAAUUAUAUGGGAUAAUCUUUAUAUUUUUUCUAUAAUUAAUUUAUAUUAAGAAUUUGUAGGAUUAAAAUCAUCCAUCAUAAAUUUCGUUAUAUAUUUUUCUUUUAUUAUGUUAAUUUUAUUUAAUUUAGGUUUUUAUUAAAUAUAUUUAAUACAAUUUUUAAUUUAAAUUAAAAAUGGUUAAAUUAGUAUAUUAUAAAUUAUAUUUAUAAUAAUUCGGCAAUUUUCUUUUUCACCUGUUUAACAAAAACAUGUCCUUUAGAUUUUUAUUUAAGGUCUAUCCUGCCCUAUGAUUGGUUUUAAAUGGCUGCAGUAAUUUUAACUGUGCAAAGGUAGCAUAAUCAUUUGUCUUUUAAUUGAAGUCUGGAAUGAAUGGUUUAAUGAAAAAAGUACUUUUUUUAAAUAUAAAUUAGAAUUUAAUUUUAAAGUUAAAAAGCUUUAAUUUUUUUAAGGGACGAGAAGACCCUAUAGAAUUUAAUUAAUAUUAUAGUAUUUAAUUUAUUAUAAUAUUUGAUACUAUAAUAUUAAUUUUGUUGGGGUGACAGUAAAAAUUAUUUAACUUUUAUUUAAUUUUAUCAAUAAUUAUUGAUUAAUUUGAUCCUAUAUGAUUAUAAGAUUAAUUUACCUUAGGGAUAACAGCGUAAUUUAUUUGAAGAGUUCUAAUCGAUAAAUAAGUUUGCGACCUCGAUGUUGAAUUAGGAUAGUUAUCAGGGGUACAUUUUUGAUUUUCAGGUCUGUUCGACCUUUAAAUUCCUACAUGAUUUGAGUUCAAACCGGUGUGAACCAGGUUGGUUUCUAUCUUUAAAUUUUUUUAUAUUUUUAGUACGAAAGGACCAAAAUGUUAUAAUAAUUAUUAUAUUUUGAUUAUUAUU
rnacentral:rRNA from 1 species